GAACGCGAAGAAACCUUACCAGGUCUUGACAUCCUCGUAGGCUCUACUACCUCUAAAAGAUAUAAGUAGAGAUUUCCACUUCGGGGCACUGCGAGAGACAGGUGGUGCAUGGCUGUCGUCAGCUCGUGUCGUGAGAUGUUGGGUUAAGUCCCGCAACGAGCGCAACCCUUGUCUUUAGUUGCCAUCAUUAAGUUGGGCACUCUAAAGAGACUGCCGGUGACAAACCGGAGGAAGGUGGGGAUGACGUCAAGUCAUCAUGCCCCUUAUGACCUGGGCUACACACGUGCUACAAUGGGCAGUACAACGAGAAGCGAACCCGCGAGGGUAAGCGGAUCUCUUAAAGCUGUUCUCAGUUCGGACUGCAGGCUGCAACUCGCCUGCACGAAGCUGGAAUCGCUAGUAAUCGCGGAUCAGCACGCCGCGGUGAAUACGUUCCCGGGUCUUGUACACACC
rnacentral:rRNA from 1 species